UAUUAUACUAUUCCAGAGAGACAUAGAGAGACAGCGAGAGAGAAAGAGAGAGAGAGACAGACAGACAGAGAGCAAAACAUACACUAGUUUCAAGGACCGAAUGAAUACACGCACUAACCUUGCCUAGAUGUGGGAAGACAAGGAAGCGAGUGAGGGAGGUGGACG